rnacentral:rRNA from 1 species
GACGAACGCUGGCGGCGUGCCUAAUACAUGCAAGUUGAGCGAUGAAGAUUGGUGCUUGCACCAAUUUGAAGAGCAGCGAACGGGUGAGUAACGCGUGGGGAAUCUGCCUUUGAGCGGGGGACAACAUUUGGAAACGAAUGCUAAUACCGCAUAACAACUUUCAACAUAAGUUUUAAGUUUGAAAUAUGCAAUUGCAUCACUCAAAGAUGAUCCCGCGUUGUAUUAGCUAGUUGGUGAGGUAAAGGCUCACCAAGGCGAUGAUACAUAGCCGACCUGAGAGGGUGAGCGGCCAAAUUGGGACUGAGACACGGCCCAAACCCCUACGGGAGGCAGCAGGAGGGAAUCUUCGGCAAUGGACGAAAGGCUGACCGAGCAACGCCGGGUGAGGGAAGAAGGUUGUCGGAUCGUAAAACUCUGUUGGUAGAGAAGAACGUUGGUGAGAGUGGAAAGCUCAUAAAGUGACGGUAACUACCCAGAAAGGGACGGCUAACUACGUG